rnacentral:rRNA from 1 species
UACGGAGGGUGCAAGCGUUAUCCGGAUUCACUGGGUUUAAAGGGUGCGUAGGAGGGCAGGUAAGUCAGUGGUGAAAUCCCCAAGCUUAACUUGGGAACUGCCAUUGAUACUAUCUGUCUUGAAUACCGUGGAGAUGAGCGGAAUAUGUCAUGUAGCGGUGAAAUGCUUAGAUAUGACAUAGAACACCAAUUGCGAAGGCAGCUCGUUACACGAAUAUUGACUCUGAGGCACGAAAGCGUGGGGAUCAAACAGG